rnacentral:rRNA from 1 species
CAGUCGCCACGGUAACACGUAGGGUGCAAGCGUUAAUCGGAAUUACUGGGCGUAAAGCGUGCGCAGGCGGUUAUAUAAGACAGAUGUGAAAUCCCCGGGCUCAACCUGGGAACUGCAUUUGUGACUGUAUAGCUAGAGUACGGCAGAGGGGGAUGGAAUUCCGCGUGUAGCAGUGAAAUGCGUAGAUAUGCGGAGGAACACCGAUGGCGAAGGCAAUCCCCUGGGCCUGUACUGACGCUCAUGCACGAAAGCGUGGGGAGCAAACAGGAUUAGAUACCCCAGUAGUCCCUGUCUCUUAUAA